rnacentral:misc_RNA from 1 species
AGCAGCCGCGGUAAUUCCAGCUCCAAUAGCGUAUAUUAAAGUUGUUGCAGUUAAAAAGCUCGUAGUUGAAUUUCGGGAUCAAUUUGCUGGUCGUGCCUCUGGUACGUACUGGUAUUAUUGGUUUCUCCCUUCUGACGAACCAUGAUGUCAUUAAUUUGAUGUCGUGGAGAAUCAGGACUGUUACUUUGAAAAAAUUAGAGUGUUUAAAGCAGGCAUUAGUUUGAAUACAUUAGCAUGGAAUAAUGAAAUAGGACGUUUGAUCCUAUUUUGUUGGUUUCUAGGAUUGACGUAAUGAUUAAUAGGGAUAGUUGGGGGGCAUUAGUAUUCAAUUGUCAGAGGUGAAAUUCUUGGAUUUAUUGAAGACUAACUACUGCGAAAGCAUUUGCCAAGGAUGUUUUCAUUAAUCAAGAACGAAAGUUAGGGGAUCGAAGACGAUCAGAUACCGUCGUAGUCUUAACCAUAAACUAUGCCGACUAGGGAUCGGAUGAUGUUAAUUUUUUAAUGACUCAUUCGGCGCCUU